GGGGAGGGAGCGGCAACACCCAGCGGCGGACGGGUGAGAUGCUUAGGAAUCUGCCUAUUAGUGGGGGACAACAUUACGAAAGGACUGCUAUAACCGAUACGCCCUAACGGGGGAAAGCAGGGGAUCCUCGGACCUUGCGCUAUAGAUGAGCCUAAGCAGAUAGCUAGGUGGUGGGGUGAAGGCCACCAACGCGACGAACUGUAGCGGGUCUGAGAGGACGAUCCGCCCACUGGGACUGAGACACGGCCCAAACUCCUACGGGAGGUAGAGUGGGGGAAAAUCGACAACGGGCCGAAUGCCUGAUCUCCCCCGCCCCGGGGGGAAAAAGCCUCAGCGGUGGUAAUUAUUUAAGCGAGAGGACGCACCGGAACAAAACCCGUGAAGCGGGCGUCCCCCCAAAAAGACCCGCUAGCUUGGCACAAGCCGGGAACCCCACGGGCCGAGUAAUAGAUUACUGGCCCAACGGGGGGGGGGUCUAACUGAGGGAACCCCGCACAACC
rnacentral:rRNA from 1 species